rnacentral:misc_RNA from 1 species
UUUUGAUUAUUGAAUCCCUUUGUUUCGUUUGUUCAGUAGGAGUAUGUAGCGAGAAGUAUCUGUAGUUAUCAGUAGAUAACUACUGAGAACCUAUGAAUUUUUUAUUGAAUUUUCAGCUUGUAUGUCUCUGUAUGGUGAUUUGUGUUAGUUUGAUGAGUUUUUAUCUUUGUCCCCCCUUUUUUUGGUGAGAAUUUAUAUUUUAGAUUGUGCGAAAGAUUUUGGUGUCAUGCUUUUUGGGAAAAUCCAACUCCAUUUUUUGCCGCUUUAUAUAAUUCAACUUCAAAACCUAAAAUUUUGAUUUUUUUUUCCAAUCCUUGCAAUUUGUUAAUAAAUUAUAGCAUACUAGUUUAUGAUUUUGAAUUUUCAUAGCAAACUAAACAGUUUAGACCAACUACUUGUCUGAUUUUGCUUAGUUUUUCUAAUCCAGUAUGGUAUUGAGGUUAUGGGUUCACUUAGUUACUCCAAUCCAAUAUACUGUCGAGAUAAAAAUUAAGCUUUUUUCCCCCUUAUGAUGUGUACUUGUAUGCCCUCACAUGGGUUCUAUUAGUUUUUUCUUAAAAAUUCUGUUAUAUAAAUUUGCACUCUGCAUUUUGUUACUGCUCAUGCAUUUUGGUUCUAUUAGUUCUUUUCUUAAAAAUUCUGUUGUAUAAAUUUGCACAUUCUGCAUUCUAUUGCUGCUCGUGCAUGUUGGUUUUCUUUUGAUAGAGCACUACGUAGUGUCCUUGCCUUAAGCAGGUCAAUUUUUAUGGUAUUUCAAACCUGAAAAACUAAAACAGUGAUGCUUUCAUGUUCUUGCAGUUCUUCAGAAUGAUUGCUGCUG